GAUGAACGCUGGCGGCGUGCUUAACACAUGCAAGUCGAACGGAAAGGCCGAAGCUUGCUUCGGUCCUCGAGUGGCGAACGGGUGAGUAACACGUGGGUGAUCUGCCCUGUACUUCGGGAUAAGCUUGGGAAACUGGGUCUAAUACCGGAUAUGACGAUCUCUUGGAUGGGGUUGUGGAAAGCUUUUGCGGUAUGGGAUGAGCUCGCGGCCUAUCAGCUUGUUGGUGGGGUAAUGGCCUACCAAGGCGUCGACGGGUAGCCGGCCUGAGAGGGUGUACGGCCACAUUGGGACUGAGAUACGGCCCAGACUCCUACGGGGGGCAGCAGUGGGGAAUAUUGCACAAUGGGCGCAAGCCUGAUGCAGCGACGCCGCGUGGGGGAUGACGGCCUUCGGGUUGUAAACUCCUUUCGCAAUCGACGAAGCCUUUUGGUGACGGUAGGUUGAGAAGAAGCACCGGCUAACUACGUG
rnacentral:rRNA from 1 species